rnacentral:rRNA from 1 species
AUGUCGAGGGAUUACAUGAUCUACAAGCCAAAGACUCUGAAAUACACAAACAUGAUGAUGAUUAUGAUAGAGGUGCCUGACAAUUUACCAAACGCGAAAAAUCACACCCCCGCACGCCACGCACAUCCAAUCGCCGCCGCCACCUUGACCAACGGCCGCCGCAUCGCCGUCCACCGCCACGCAUCUGCCAUCCCCGGCUUCCCCUCCGCGGCUCCCUCAUCCGGCUUCGCCGACUCGUCGCGCAUCUUCGUCCUCCCCUCCGUGGCGUCCUUCGCCGGUCUACCCUCCCCGAUGCGGUCCGCACCUACGGACUCCCCUCCUCCUCCGUCAGCAGCUCCAGUCGCCACCCCCGCAGUGGAAUGA